UACGAACUGUGCAAACGUUAUUCGGAAUCACUGGGCUUAAAGGGUGCGUAGGCGGCUAUUUAAGUAGGGUGUGAAAGCCCCCGGCUCAACCGGGGAAUUGCGUCCUAAACUGGAUAGCUCGAGUGAGAUAGAGGUGUGCGGAACUUCCGGUGGAGCGGUGAAAUGUGUUGAUAUCGGAAGGAACGCCGGUGGCGAAAGCGGCACACUGGGUCUCAACUGACGCUGAGGCACGAAAGCCAGGGGAGCGAACGGG
rnacentral:rRNA from 1 species